rnacentral:lncRNA from 1 species
AAAGCAUUGAGGCGGGGGUAACAAGUUCCCAUGGAAUGCAAAUGGCUCCCCAGCAGAUGUGACACUUAAUCGGUCGAUGGUUGCGACAAGUUGCUCCGAUUGUGAUUGACCUGCGACCUCAAUCAUACGAUUGUCUCAGCUGAUGUUCCAGCAGCACCUUUUGUUCUCUGAUAUACCUAGUAUCUAAAUCUGUAGUGAGUGG